CAGUUACAAGAAACGCACUGCUAGGAGCGCGGGGGCAGAAACAUCGGGGCAAGAGAAGACUGAAGGAAAAAGAAAGAGGACAGUGACCUUCACGGACAACAUCGCAGAAGUCCGCUAUUAUGAAGUGGAACCUAACACCAGUUUGAGGCUUGUUCCUAAAAGAGGGAAAAGAAAGAAAAGAAUGGAAAGACCUAAGAGAAGAUCUUCUUGCCGGCCCCGCGAUAGAUCUUAGACUGUAGAUAUCUAGAUCAUUCCAGGGCAAGACAAGAAAGAAACCCGAAAGAGGACAGUGAGCUUCGCGGACGACGUAGAAGUCCGCUAUUAUGAGAUGGAAACCAACGAUGAAAUGAGGCCUGUCCCUAAAAGAUGGGAAAGAAUGAAAAGAAUGAGAAGACCUAAGAGAAGAUCAUCUUGCCGUCCCCACGCCAGAGACUAGACCACAGAUAUCUAGACCAUUCCAGGUGGAGCCCUUAUGGGGCACCUUGUAAAUUAGUGUAAUGGUGGGAAUCACUAUCAAUCUGCAUGUGCAGAGCGAUGCUUAGAUCCGGUGUCCAGUACUAAGUGUUUAGCCUUGUCAGACUACCGCUUAGUACGGGACAGCGGAUCUAAGCAUCGUGUCCUACCAUUAUACCGCUCCAUAAGGACUCCACCUGAAAUUGUUUAGAUAUCAGCAGUGCUAUAGAUAAGCUAAUGCUUAAUAGAUAAGCUAAUGCAUCAAAAAUAAUAAAAAAAAACAGCAUUUGCCCCA